rnacentral:rRNA from 1 species
GGGAGGGCAGCAGUGGGGAAUAUUGCACAAUGGGGGAAACCCUGAUGCAGCAACGCCGCGUGAGUGAUGAAGGUUUUCGGAUCGUAAAGCUCUGUCUUUGGGGAAGAUAAUGACGGUACCCAAGGAGGAAGCCACGGCUAACUACGUGCCAGCAGCCGCGGUAAUACGUAGGUGGCGAGCGUUAUCCGGAUUUACUGGGCGUAAAGGGAGCGUAGGCGGAUGAUUAAGUGGGAUGUGAAAUACCCGGGCUCAACUUGGGUGCUGCAUUCCAAACUGGUUAUCUAGAGUGCAGGAGAGGAGAGUGGAAUUCCUAGUGUAGCGGUGAAAUGCGUAGAGAUUAGGAAGAACACCAGUGGCGAAGGCGACUCUCUGGACUGUAACUGACGCUGAGGCUCGAAAGCGUGGGGAGCAAACAGGAUUAGAUACCCUGGUAGUCC